rnacentral:rRNA from 1 species
AUUGAACGCUGGCGGCAGGCCUAACACAUGCAAGUCGAGCGGAUCGGCGGACGGGUGAGUAAUGCCUAGGAAUCUGCCUGGUAGUGGGGGAUAACGUCCGGAAACGGGCGCUCAUACCGCAUACUAUCAGAUGAGCCUAGUUCGGAUUAGCUAGGUGGUGGGGUAACGGCCUACCAAGGCUACGAUCCCUAGCUGGUCUGAGAGGAUUACCAGCCACAGUGGAACGCAGACAAGGUCCAGGUUCCUACGGGGGGCAGCAGUGGGGAGUAUGGCACAAUGUGCGCAAGCCUGAUGCAGCCAUGCCGCGUGUAUGAAGAAGGCCUUCGGGUUGUAAAGUACUUUCAGCGAGGAGGCGUUACUCGCAGAAGAAGCACCGGCUAACUCCGUGCCAGCAGCCGCGGUAAUAC